GCUCUUUGCACUUUCCCGGUGCUCACUAGGAGAACUGUCGUUGUGUGUGCACGCUGGAAAUAAUAGUUGUUGUUGUUUUACACUGCAGAGGGUUUUUAUUUAAGUCGUAAGAUUCGCUGGUUGUGAAUGAAAUCUCCGAGAGUUUCGGAUCUCACCCCAGCCGUGCCGGAUUCUGCGCCUCCUAAUUUGGAAGUGAGCCCCUUGAGGCUUACACUCCCAAGAGAGCGACCUUCUCAUGAAAUCAGAAUGUCUCCAAAUGAUCCAAGUCCUGCUUGUGCGAACAUGCUCUCGGGAUGUGCGAGCUGUGGGUGCAACUCUGCCUUCGGAGAUGCCCAGUUAGACUUGGGGUUGGGGGAAACGGCUUUGAGGUUUAAAAGGUUCAGGAUGGUAGAUGUGCUGCGUAAAAUUGCUGUUUGGAAUCACGAAGAUGGAAGAACUUAGUCCUGGCGCUGACAAAAGACUACCGGAGAAAUAGAUUCGAUCUUGGGGCAGUGGAGGGGGGGGGACUUAGGCUGGGCCCUUGGUUUGCAAGAAAAUAACGGUGGACAUGGACAAUUUCCUCUCCUCGUUCACGAGUAUUUAUGCUCAAGUUGACACUACUGAAGAACUUUCCAAAUUCACAACAGUAGCCUGAGGGGGUCAUCGAGCCCAGUAGCCUGUCUUUGACAGUGUCCAGAGCCAGAUGCGCCAGGAAGCGCUUUCAAAGGAGGGGGCGGUGAGAGGAGGGGGGUAUUCCCAUCACGGCUGGCCUCUGUAAAUGUAAGCAAUAUCAGAAAUGCUACGCAUCAGACCCAAAGAAAAAUUAAAAAGUGGUUCCUUUCAA